GCACUGCGUCUGCGCCCCGCCGUGCGGCUCGGACGGGGCGGCGAGCACCCGCUCGUGCGCGCGCCUGGCCGCCUGCGGAGGAGGCUCCGCCCGGUCCCGUCCGGCCCUCCUGGUCCAUCCGAUUCCACGCCGCCCCCGCUGCCGCGCCAUGGAGCUGCCCCGGAGCCUGUGCAAGAAGGCGAAGCUGGGCCACGGCGCGCAGAACUGGGGGAUGCAGAGAGCGACUAACGUCACGUACCAAGCCCACCACGUGAGCAGGAACAAGCGGGGCCAGGUGGUGGGAACGAGAGGCGGCUUCCGCGGCUGCACCGUGUGGCUGACAGGCCUGUCAGGUGCGGGGAAGACCACGGUGAGCAUGGCCUUGGAGGAGCACCUGGUCUGCCAUGGCAUCCCGUGCUACACCCUGGACGGUGACAACAUCCGCCAGGGGCUCAACAAGAACCUGGGCUUCAGUCCCGAGGACCGGGAGGAGAAUGUGCGGCGCAUCGCUGAGGUGGCCAAGCUGUUCGCCGACGCGGGCUUGGUCUGCAUCACUAGCUUCAUCUCGCCCUACACGCAGGACCGUAACAAUGCCCGGCAGAUCCACGAGGGCGCCAGUCUGCCGUUUUUCGAAGUGUUUGUGGACGCGCCUCUGCACGUGUGCGAACAGAGGGACGUCAAAGGGCUCUACAAGAAGGCUCGAGCCGGGGAGAUCAAAGGGUUCACGGGGAUCGACGCGGAGUACGAGAAGCCAGAAGCCCCCGAGCUGGUGCUGAAGACGGACGCCUGUGACGUGAAUGACUGCGUGCAGCAGGUGGUGGAGCUGCUGCAGGAGCGGGACAUUGUACCUGUGGACGCCUCUUACGAAGUGAAAGAGCUCUAUGUGCCAGAAAACAAACUGCAUUUGGCAAAAACAGACGCGGAGUCGUUGCCCGCUCUGCAGAUUACUAAGGUGGACAUGCAGUGGGUGCAGGUGCUGGCCGAGGGCUGGGCCACGCCGCUGGGUGGCUUCAUGAGGGAGCGCGAGUACCUGCAGUGCCUUCACUUCGACUGCCUCCUGGACGGCGGCGUCAUGAACCUGUCAGUGCCGAUCGUCCUGACGGCCACUCAGGAGGACAAGGAGCGGCUGGAUGGCUGCACAGCCUUUGCGCUGCUGUACGAGGGCCGCCGCGUGGCCAUUCUUCGCAACCCAGAGUUUUUUGAGCACCGGAGGGAGGAGCGCUGCGCCCGGCAGUGGGGGACCAUGUGCAAGAGCCACCCCUACAUCAAGAUGGUUAUGGAGCAGGGAGACUGGCUGAUCGGAGGGGAUCUGCAGGUCCUGGACCGGAUCUACUGGAACGACGGCCUUGACCAGUACCGGCUCACUCCCACUGAGCUCCGGCAGAAGUUCAAAGACAUGAAUGCAGAUGCCGUCUUCGCGUUCCAGUUGCGCAACCCAGUGCACAAUGGCCACGCGCUGCUGAUGCAGGACACGCACCGCCAGCUGCUGGAGCGCGGCUACCGGCGGCCCGUGCUCCUGCUGCACCCCCUGGGCGGCUGGACCAAGGAGGACGACGUGCCGCUGGCCUGGCGCAUGAAGCAGCACGCGGCGGUGCUGGAGGAGGGCGUCCUGCCGCCCGAGUCCACCGUGGUGGCCAUCUUCCCGUCCCCCAUGAUGUACGCCGGGCCCACCGAGGUGCAGUGGCACUGCCGAGCUCGGAUGGUGGCAGGGGCCAACUUCUACAUCGUGGGCCGGGAUCCGGCGGGCAUGCCGCACCCAGAGACGGGGAAGGACCUGUACGAGCCCACCCACGGCGCCAAGGUGCUCACCAUGGCCCCCGGCCUCAUCAGCCUGGAGAUCGUGCCCUUCCGGGUGGCGGCAUACAACAGGAGAAAGAAGCAGAUGGACUACUACGACGCGGAGCAGCAAAGGGAGAUCAAGGAGACCCAAUAUCUCAUUAUCCUAGGGGUUAGAAGUGGAGAUAAAGAUUUAAUCCAGUGUUACGUUCGGUCCUGGUGUCAGGAAUUCUGCCCUGCAGCUCUUGGGGCGGUACUGGUAUCUGCAUUUCCCAGCUGUCUGCUGAGUGGCUCGAGUCCCGAGUCACCUCUGGAACACAUCCAUUCCCUCGAAGCUCCUCCUGGGCUCCCCACACCUGGUUGCAGACAGAGGCCGUUUUCACCCGGCUCCCAGAGUUCUGAUGAACCAUGCUGAGUCACUUCCAUAGCUCCACAAGAGGGCAAGGGGAGAGCGAGAAAUCAUCCUGCCAGUGGUGAAGGACUUUUGGCUGGGUUUCCAGAGACAGUAAAGCUGAGCUAAAGACAGCAUGGAGCCACGAGGACUUCGAGUUCAUCUCGGGCACGCGCAUGCGCAGGCUGGCCCGCGACGGGCAGAAGCCGCCCGAGGGCUUCAUGGCGCCCGCGGCCUGGGCCGUGCUGGUGGAGUACUACAAGGCCCUGGAAAAGGCGUGAGCGACGGGGGACCGAGGGACCAGAGGGCGGGAGCACGCCGCCCUCCCUCUGCCUAGCCUGCAGCGCGUCACCUGUCUGGUGUCACCCGCUGCUUUUGCCGUCCUCUUCCGCUUGUUAUACUUAAUAUUCCUACAGUGCGAUUUUAAAAUCUUGUCUUUUUAUAUUCUAUUUAUGCUUCUGUCUCAUACUUUCUUCAGGCUGUUCUAUUAGUUGAAACCAGUAAUACGCAGUCUCGCUUUUCCUCCCUUAAGAAAGGAAAAAAAAUCACUAAAUAAUAAAUGUGAUUAGACCUUGUCUUGGAAAUUUUACAAGACAUGUGUAGCAGUGAGAUGUUUUUUCCUACAUUGAAAAUGUAAACCACUUCCUCUCUUCCUUCCACUUAGCUAUUGAUCUUUCAGCCAUUAUAAUCUGAAACGUUCUUAUGACCUGUAUAAGCUCUGAACAGACUUCUUUAUUCAAUAAAAUUACAUUUUUGGCUACUUAA